rnacentral:misc_RNA from 1 species
UUAGGAAGCAGGAUCUGAG